GGUGAUUCUUGAUGAAUUACAAGAUGAAGUUUAGAUGAUUCCUGAUGAAUUAGAUGAUGAAGUUUGUAGAUGUCCUAGGGUGGUUGUCAUUUAAGCUUACUAUGUUGUUGGGUUGUUUAGAAUGUUUAGUAUGAUGGUGUAAUUCAUUUUGAUUUAGUAUUGAGCUUCAUGUAAUCUAUACAUGCUUAAUUUUUAAAUAUACAUGCUAUUUGAUCUUGUUUCUUUCUUUUUCUACUUAGGGUUCUUUCUUUCUUAGUUUUUAAAUGGAAUG
rnacentral:lncRNA from 1 species